GGGGCCGCCGCAGAAGCUCGUGCGGCUACUGCAAAUCCUGCGAUGGCUCCGGUAUCUCUAACGGGUUGUGUCGUCUCUUCGCUUCUGUAUUGAACUUGUUUCCCGGUUUUUCGUUUGUCAUCCAUGGAAUUGGGUAUUGUUGAUCGAUCAAAAAUCGGACAAUUUCAAGGUUGGGGUCGUUUAAAUUUCUAUAUUUGAUUGUGCUAUCGGGUAUGUUUGGUUAUCUUAUGUUGAUUUCCUGUUCGAGAGACGGGCUUGUUGAGAAUAACCUGAAAUGGUGAAGUGUUUUGAUUGAUCUCGUGUUUCAGUUGGUAAUUUCUGAUGAAUGCUGUUUGAUUUUCUUUUGUUAUUCCAUUGAAUGUUCAUGGAAGAGUGCAAAGUGAAUAUCUUCAACUACUUGGUUGGCAAUGGCGGUUAUAGUUGCUCGUUUCAGGACCCUGAUGAUGAUAAAUAACUCGAUCUCUGUUUUGUCGCCGAUACAGUUCUAUGGGCAGAGAGUCUCUCCGUUGAAAAUUCUCAAAGAGUUGGUCUUGGUCUCCUUGUUUGUGUGGAAUGCAUAGCACAUGAAUUAAGCACAAAGAAAAUAAGAAACAACUCCCAAACAACUAAGCGCUAGCUGUGGGUAUCCGAGCUCGCGGAUCCUGUGGCUAUAUCCCGUGAUCAUCAGAGCUAAGGGCGAGAGGAGUCCCGGUGAGAGGCGUGAGGCCGCGAGGGGACAAGACGCGAGAGUGGGGAACUUAGGGUUUCAACUUUGAGGCGGCGAGACAACGAGGAGGUAUCCGAACUCUCAUAGCACCCCGUAGAUAUCCAAAACUCGGGCAUCCUACUUUUCACGAGAUCAGGGUCAGGUACUUUGGCCGAGAAACCCGAGAGGAUGAGAUUGAGAUCGAGUACACGAGCAUCCUGAAAUCUCGAAUUUCGAGGUGGAUAUCAAGAAUAACAUGAUCAUCUAUAAGAAACUCUCUUCUUUUUUAGAUACAAGUUUGUGCUGAGUGAUGAUCUGUAUACAACAAGUUCCAGAGAGCAGCUUCAUAUAACAAAA